rnacentral:lncRNA from 1 species
AAUGGAGUGGUGUUGAAAUGAUUUAAAGGUGAAAGUGAAGUAAUGAUGCAAAGCAUGGGUAAAAUGGAGUGGUGUUGAAAUGAUUCAAAGGUGAAAGUGAAUUGAUGAUUGAUGCAAGAAUUAAACAUGGAUGGAGUGCACGGCAAAGGUUUGUUAUGGUACAAGGAACCCUUAAUUUGUGUCCUAAAAUGCAUGUGAAACCUUCAAUGUUGCUGGAACUUAGGGACAUUUAGGAUUUAGGAAAGAUCAAACCAAAAUAGGAAACCUUGGCUUCACUUUCCUACUUCAAGUAGGAAUCCUCACCUUUAGGUCUUCAAUUUCGUCCAUUCCUCUAGUUCCAAGCAUGUGAUAUUUAUUCCAAGCCCAAAAUUGCUCCAAAAGGCUCUAAAAUGCACAUUUUUGCAUACUUUGUCCUUAGAACCUGAAAUUGCACAAAAAUGACUUUAAACACUAAAACAACUAAGGAAUAGCAACAUAAAUGCAUGAGAACAAGCUAACUCAGUCGCAUAAAUAUGCUCUUAUCAAAAUCCCCUACACUUAGCUUUUGCUAGUCCUCGAGCAAAACAAAAGAAACAAACGAAUCAAAACAAACAGAACACAACUUAACCUUCCAACAUUUGCCUCAGGGAUUUCCAAUGCACAUGACAUGUUAAAAAUCAUCAUUCCCACAGGUUUUGGUCAUCUUCACACUUGAGCACAUACUUAAUUACAGUCACCACUUACUAGUUCGCAAUUAACCAAUUAAAACGAUAUUUUGAAUGUAGUAACAUGCCUUAGAGAAUUUGCUCAAUUCCUUACAAGAUACUCUCUAUUUUCACACACAUUUUCCGACUACACACCCUACACUAGCUAUAUAUGAGCAGAAUGAUGUAAACAUGGAAGACUAGUACUCACAUAUGUUAUAACAAAGAAAGCAAUUUCUGGAGUUAAUAAGCAUGUUUAGAUAUGAUCUCAUGAAUGGAAUGCUACAACUUAGAUGCGAGAACCAGUGACACCAUAUGCUCAUACCAAUUUCAAACUCCACGAAUUGAAACACACAACACUCAAGAUUGAAGUCAAGGGUUGUAACGGGGCUUGGGGGUAAUGGCUAAUAAAGAAAGGAUAGCAAUAACAAACGUUCUUAAAGCGAUAGCAAGCAAAGCAAUGAAAUAAACACUUGGAAUUCACUUUAGAAUGCAGAAUCAACUUUUAAAUACAAAGGGAAGAUUCAUGCAACACUUAGGGCCGAAUUCAAUGUUUUGGACCCUUUUUUAACAAACUUUUUUCUUUUCACUCUUUUUUUUUUUUUUCCUUUUCUACCCGUGCCUUAUUAAGGACUUUGGUACACACACACACACACAAGAAUCACUUCCCCCACAUUUGUUUUAUGCAAUACAUUGAUAAAAAAGGAGUUCAUUUUAAGUUAUGCUUUACUAUGCUUCAAGAACAAGGGUAUGGAUGGUCCUAAAACUAGGCUAGGUAAGUAUAGUGUGGAUUAACAAAGAACAUAGGCUUAACAAGGCUCAACGGGGUUAAACUUAAACACAAAUGAAAUAGGGCCACGACAAUUUGGCUUUGGUGGUCACUACACAACUUCAUCUUGAAUAUGUGUUAUGCAAAUCAAUAGCAUGCUUUGAAUGAAAUAGGCAUGAGUUCUAGCAUUUGGAACUAAAUGAUGAAAUGCCUUCUAAGUAGCAACCAAGCAAAGAAUAAUGAGAUCAUGCAAUGACUUUGGAAAACAAUGAUGCGCAGAUUAUUAACUCUCCAAAUAAACGUUUAGGCUCAAAUCUCACAAGGUUGUAGCGUUCAUUUGAGUUCCUUCCUUCAAGCAUGUUACAAAACUAAUUUUUCCUUUAUGGUUGCAUGUGAAUUCAUAAAUUAUAACCACAACAAAGCAUACACCAAAGAGUAAAUCAAAUUUUCAUCCUGUUUAUAACUCUCUUUAACAGUCAUGUAAUUAAAAACCAAAUCCUCAUCAUUGUGUUGGA